rnacentral:rRNA from 1 species
GAUGAACGCUGGCGGCGUGCCUAAUACAUGCAAGUCGAGCGGCGCGGGGAGGGGGGAGUAACACGUGGAUGACCUGCUAUACGACUGGGGUAACUUCGGGGAACCGGUGCUAACCCGGCUCCUUAUAGAUGGAUCUGCGCUGCAUUAGCUAGUUGGUAAGGUAACGGCUUACCAAGGCAACGAUGCAUAGCUGACCUGAGCGGAUGACCGGCCACACUGGAACUGAGACACGGUCCAGACUCCUACGGGAGGCAGCAGUGGGGAAUCUUCCGCAAUGGGCGAAAGCCUGACGGAGCAACGCCGCGUGAAUGAUGAAGGUCUUCGGGUUGUAAAGCUCUGUUAUUAGGGAAGCGUUACCCACUCAGAAAGCCCCGGCUAACUCCGUGCCAGCAGCCGCGGUAAUUC